rnacentral:rRNA from 1 species
UUUCCAGACUCCUACGGGAGGCAGCAGUGGGGAAUAUUGGGCAAUGGAGGCAACUCUUACCCAGCAAUGCCGCGUGAAUGAAGAAGGUCUUCGGAUUGUAAAGUUCUUUAAUUGGGGACGAAAAAAAUGACGGUACCCAAGGAAUAAGCCCCGGCUAACUACGUGCCAGCAGCCGCGGUAAUACGAAGGGGGCAAGCGUUGUUCGGAAUUACUGGGCGUAAAGGGAGUGUAGGCGGUUUAGUAAGAUAGUGGUGAAAUCCCAGAGCUUAACUUUGGAAUUGCCAUUAUAACUAUUAGACUAGAAUUACAGAGAGGAUAGUGGAAUACCCAGUGUAGAGGUGAAAUUCGUAGAUAUUGGGUAGAACACCAGUGGCGAAGGCGACUAUCUGGCUGUACAUUGACGCUGAGGCUCGAAAGCAUGGGGAUCAAACAGGAUUAGAUACCCGAGUA